GGGUUCCUGGGCCAGGUUAAUCCGCCCAGGGUGAGUCGGGACCUAAGGCGAGGCCGACAGGCGUAGUCGAUGGACAACGGGUUGAUAUUCCCGUACCCGUGUGAACGCGCCCCUGAUGAAUCACUGGUACUAACCAUCCUGAAGAUUCCUUUUUCCCUUCGGGGGAUUGGGGGUUGGAUGCAUGGGACCUUCGGUGGUAGUAGUCAAGCGAUGGGGUGACGCAGGAAGGUAGCUGGGCCGGCUGGUGGAAUAGCCGGUGUAAGCCUGUAGGGCGAGUGGUAGGCAAAUCCGCCACUCAUAUGGCCUGAGAGGUGAUGCGUAGCCGUUGUGGUGAAUUCAGUGAUCCUAUGCUGCCGAGAAAAGCCUCUAGCGAGCUUUCACAUGGCCCGUACCCCAAACCGACACAGGUGGUCAGGUAGAGAAUACUGAGGCGAUCGAGAUAACUGUGGUUAAGGAACUCGGCAAAAUGCCCCCGUAACUUCGGGAGAAGGGGGACCUUGUCUGGUGAUGAGUCUUGCACUCUGAGCUGGGUGGGGUCGCAGAGACCAGAGAGAAGCGACUGUUUACUAAAAACACAGGUCCGUGCGAAGUCGUAAGACGAUGUAUACGGACUGACGCCUGCCCGGUGCUGGAAGGUUAAGAGGAGUGAGA
rnacentral:rRNA from 1 species